CUGUGUACCUCGAGCAGGGAAACUCGACGGCGGCGUCCCGCAUCAUCUCCGCCCCCUCGACGACGACUCUCCUCAUCUCUCUCCCCGCCGCCGACCCUUCUCGUCUCCGCCGGCCACCUGGACGGCAUGAAUCAGCUGAUGGGUAAAGUGUGGGAUUGGAUAAUGUAUGGAACCAAACGGAACAAGUUUGAUGGAUCGGUUCUUGUUGCCAAUGAGGAGGAUGGUGGAAGAUGCCAAGAGGAUGUCAGAGCUCUCCGGGAGGAUCGUGGAGAUGACCCUAAGGAUGUCAGUAGUGGCCCAGAGUCCUCAGAGGGUAGCGAUGAUUUUCCACACGGCCACCGUGUGGUGCAAAUUUUGGCUAUUUCUGCCAACUUCCCUGUCUACGCAAUCAACGGUUACGACUCGUAUCUAAUGUUUAGUACUCUAUCCUAUCUACCAAAUUGAAUGGUGUUUUCAUUCCAAAAAAUGAAAAAAAAAAAUGGGUAAAAGGCGAGAACUUUUAUAUUUUUAUAUUAUGAACCUUCAACUCUAAAAUGCAAAUUCUUCUACAUUGAAUGGUACAAGAGGUGCAGGAUGGAACGGUCGAUUUGGUGCCCAUUGGACCCCGUGAAAUUCUCAUGGCUUACGGCGACAUUGGCUUGGAAAUUUUCUAUUUCACCGCAGUCGGCGAUGAGGGGGAUGUUAUUAGCGUCGAUGAGGGGGAUGUUAUCAGUGUCAAGGAGGGGGGUCUACGGCCCUUUUUUCCUCCCAUUAGAGCGCAGUGGAGUGUUGAGUACGGGGAUGAACUUGAGGAAUACACACAAACCAUCUGUGCAGGCCCUGGCCGCAAUCUGGAUAUCACAUACUUGUUGAUUCCUGACGCUGCUCAAACCAAUGUUGAGGUCAGGUUGAAGCUCAAAGACUUUGGCUCUACAAGUCGUACCGUGUAUGGUAAGAUCAGGGCAAAAGCCAUUGACUAUGGGAACAAAAGCGUCCACCUCUUCAGUUGUGAUCGAGGGAGGCGCUUGUCCUUUCCCACUGGCACAACAUCCAUUCUUCCACUGGAACCGCCUAGGAUUGCCCUACCACGUAGUCGGCUGCUCAAAUUCCACAUAGAGGUGGACUUGACAGUAAUCACUACCUAUGACAGUCAUGAAGAGGACAAGAAUUUGAAAUUCAGUCUAGAAUUCACCCGUGGAAUUACGAGUCAUGAAAGAGAAGUCGAUGAUGAUCAAGUUGAAGUGAAAGUAAAACAUUACUGGGAUUAUUGAUACUCUGUACUACAAACUGAGAUGCGAAUAUGGGUGGUGUAGUAGUUGUAGCAUCAGAAGAUGACUAUGAAAUAAGUCAAGGGAUGCUUUAGUAGUUGCAGCAUCAGAGGAUGACGGAAAUAAUUGAAGGGGUGCUGUAGUAGUUGCAGCAUCAGAAGAUGACUAUGAAAAUAAGUGAACGGUUCCCGUCUGGAACUUUGUACCCGUUUGUCAAAUCAUGCUACCCGGUCGCUGGUGUGAAUUAGUCUCGCUCCU